CGUAUCACCCAUAUUGAAUUAUCGUAAUAUUUUAUAAAACACGCCGGGACAAGAACGAGUAACAAACCCGAAUGGAUACCCUGAAUUUCUAUACAUAUAGCUGUAUCUAUAUUAUUACAGUCUAUAUAUGUAUUGUAUAAUUUCGUGUUUUAAUGUUACAUCCGAUCAUAAAACCGGACGUAACGUAUACGGGAUAUAAACUCGGGCACGUGCGUACAAAAUAAAACUAUUUUAUACAAAAACAUUAUUAUAUUUUGUGUUUUUAUGCUGCGAGACGCUCUAAAAAAAAAAAAAAUCCCGAUAGAAUUUUACAGUCUCCGUUUAAUUGCUUUUAUCGUCGUCGUCCUACUGCAGGCGUCCGAAUUUCAUACUGCCGUACUAUAUUAUAUUAUAAACCUAUAUAUAACAUUAUAAUUCGAGAGUGGACAUUAACGAGUCGACCAAUUUAGUUAGUUUUAACUUUCGACUAAUUAUUUAUAAACUAUAACGUACAUUAUUUGAAUCUUGCAUACCGUACUAGUAUAGUGUAAAUUAAAUUGUGUUAUACAUAGGUAAUAAGGUUUCCUCCUAAUUUUUUUAGAUGGGUGAGGUUGAAUGUAUACGCCAUAUGAAUGCACGAUCCUUGUGUUUCGCAAUCCUUUUUUAAAAAAAAAUCGCAAACUCUACGUUUAAUUAUUCUGACUAUGGCAACAAAAAUAAUUAUACAAACAAAAUAAAAUUCAAAUUAACUUAAUACGCUUUCAUAUUAAACUUUUAACUUAACUGUUGACUGAUAUAAUAAUUUUCACGAAUUCGCAAAGCCUUGGAUAUUUUAUUGUAUUGUAAGAGACAUAAUAUGUAUAUAUAUAUAUCCUAUAUAAUCCUCUUUUAUAGACUUUCCAGUUUCCAAUUGUAGGUACAUUUAGGCCCAUUUUAUCAAUCGUUAACUGAAUGUCCUUAGAUGAAAACUAACAGUAGAUUUAUGCAAAUCAUGAUUUCAUCAAUUGUAUUUAUUCUGAGCUUAUGUAAUCUUCGAUAUAACAAAUUGAAGAUUGAUUAAAUGUCGAAAUGCAUUCGUUUACAGCAAUGAUAUAAUAUGUGAAAAUAAUACCAACUUCAAUUAGUCAAUUUAUAUCAGCUGUUAUCGUAAU